GCCCUCCGCCCGCCCCCCGUGCAUCCCCGCACCCACACGGGAGCGCCACCGCUCCGGGACGCGAGCCGGCAGCGGCAACGUGGCAGGCUGCCAGCGGCUUGAGCUCCUACUCCUUUCUACAAGAGGCAUGAAUAAUAUGCUACCUUGGAAGCGAAGUAUCCAGAUAGUCAAAAAAAGGAAUACACACACACACACACACACACACACACGGAAAGGGAACAGGUUUUGAAUCAAAGCUGAGUAUUAAUCUCAGUUUUACCACUACCAGUUGUGUAACUUCAGGGAAGUUACUUAUUAGCUUGACUCCCAAGUUCAUCAGCUGUGAAAUGAGACAAACACCUGUCUCAGAAAGCUGAUGCCAAGCUAAAGUUCAAUUGUGUAUAUAACAUGUGGCCCAAACCACACUCAUAGCAGACAUUGGGCCGCUGGUUUUCCUCUCCUUUUGUAAAGAGCGGGUCAGAACAAGGGCGUAAGUGAGAACAACAGGAGGAAGCUGGCUUCUGGACUUGGACGUGAUGAGAAGGUCAGUAGAGAUGGAGACGGGGGCAGCAGGGAGCAAAGGGCACCUGGGGCCAGGUAAUGGCAUCUGUUUCACGAAUGUGAGAUCGGUUCUGCUGCAGGGCAUAUGGUGGCCACAAGGUGACAUUUAUUUGCAAUGCUGACUGGCUGGCGAGAACAUGAAUUUAGAAGCUGCCUUCCACAAAGAGCCACACCUCACCCCUCCCAGGGCUCUCCCUUGCUUGGGAGUCCAGCUGGGGCAAUGAGGUGUUGGGGUGCAUGUCAACAGUUGUGCUACCACGUCACCUGCAAGAGGGUGGGAGCAGGUGAAACUAUGACCAGAUGGCAGGCAGGCAAGCCAGGAGAAGAUACCAAGUGAGAUUUCCAACUUGCUGAAGCCCAGUGAUGGCAGCCAGGUUCCACUGACCCACAGGCCAGGUGAGUGGGGCUGGAGACCUCCCUACUGAGUUAUCAAGGACUGGCCCCACCCCAAACUGUGUAGCCGAAGAUGGUUUCCUUUUCCGAUGCAUCAGCACCUUCACACUUAGGGAUCCUCCCUUAUCUCCCACGGAAGAGCCAGCCAUCAUUGGCUAGCGAAGCAGGAACUAAGCAAUUUCACGAUCACUCAGGUGAAUGAGCCACACAGAGAGGGCUAAAAAUGGUAGGAGGGGAGGGGCUCUAGAGCAGGCUGCUGCAGACUGUAUUUUCACCAUGAGAAGACUUCUGAAACUCAGAAGACCAUUAAGCAGAAGGCAGACCCUCUAGAAAUUCCCUUCUGUAACUGCUGCCGAUAAAAACAAGCUUAACCUGAAUAAUAAAAAGGGAGGAGGUAUUUUUAGUAAUAAACAGUAACAGCUAACACAACAGUGACAUUAUUUAGAAAUGUUAAUAGGUCAAGACUUCGGCUCUUCUGUUCCCCCCGAAAAGGCCUAUCUGGAACCCCAGCGGUGGGUACAGCACGGUCUGGAGGCCACACAUCUGACAGCGUUCGUUGCUACAGUGUUACUGGGCUGCGACUCGGGUACUUUUGCUUUUACAAAAUUUCAAAAUGCAGAACGGAGAACCGAUAAUGGUACACGAUAAUCAUGUACAUGGUUUAUUGUGCUUUUUUCUCUUAUGCAGUUGCAGUGAAUUAAGGGCCGUUGUUUUCUAUUUGAUAAUCAAAAUGAACAACCUUGGGAUCAUUUAUUCCAUGUAUUAUCUGUAAUAAAUGUUUUAAAUUCCAGUUGACCUUUCCCUAACCCCCUCCUAUAGGGCUUUUUCUUCCUCCUUUAUUUAUUUUUUUUUAACAUUUAUUUAUUUUUGAGAAAGAGAGACAGAGCACGAGCAAGGGAGGGGCAGAAAUAGAGGGAGACACAGAAUCCGAAGCAGGUUCCAGGCUCUGGGCUGUCAGUACAGAAUCUGACGCAAGGCUCAAACCCAGGAACCGUGAGAUCAUGACCUGAGCUGAAGUCAAUGCUUAAACGACUGAGCCAUCCAGGCGCCCCUUCUUCCUUCCUAUGAUGAGCCGUGUGCACAAGGAAUGUGACAUAAUUGUAAUACCAGUGUGAGCAAAACCAUAAAGGAAGGUAUAUAAAAGCAUCAUACCAUGUUUCCCAAAGCCAAGGGAAAUGAUUUUAGUGUAUACACAUUGCUGAUUAUACUCCCAUCCGUACAGAUAAUUAAAAGUUGACUAUAUGAUAAUAUUAAACGGCAGGCACAACUUUUUGAAAAUUUCUCCCUGGUAUUAGCAAUGCAAAAACACCGACUUGAAUGUUCAACGCUAAUCAAAUUCAUCUCUUCUUAAGAGCAGUGUAUAAUAAAUGGGUAGCCUAAAAGGAAUGCUUUGAACAGAAUGCUUCACUAUUGUCUGAUUAUUCUAAAUUUAAAACUCCCAACAAAGGAAAGGAUUAUUCUUCUUGAGGUUCGAGAUUCACGAGGAUUUGGUAAUGAAAUUCCUUUAGGAGAGCAAAUAAAAAAAUUGCUAUCUACAA